UACGUAGGGUGCAAGCGUUGUCCGGAAUUAUUGGGCGUAAAGAGCUCGUAGGCGGUCUGUCGCGUCUGCUGUGAAAACUCGGGGCUUAACCCCGGGCCUGCAGUGGGUACGGGUAGACUAGAGUGCGGUAGGGGAGACUGGAAUUCCUGGUGUAGCGGUGAAAUGCGCAGAUAUCAGGAGGAACACCGGUGGCGAAGGCGGGUCUCUGGGCCGUAACUGACGCUGAGGAGCGAAAGCAUGGGGAGCGAACAGG
rnacentral:rRNA from 1 species